UAAAAUGAUUUAUGUAGGCUGAUUCCUGCAUAAAAUGGGCUUGACACAAAGCUACAUAUUAAACUGAUUUACUUGGUAGGCUUAUACAUAUAUUCUUUGAUUCACCAAGAUAACUAACAGGUCUAUGAACUGCUGAACUCUUAAUGCUUGAUACAAUCGGUUCCAUAACCUGUUGGCUAGCCGCUUGGUCAGUUCGGCGGGUCACCCGGGGCAUCAUACAAUUUGAUCCUUUGUAAAAUGUUACUUUGAUGGUUCAAUCAUUUUACUGACCUAACUUGAUAUUUUUACAGCAGUAUUAUACAAAUCUUCUUCAUUACGCAGGUCCUUCUAACACAAUAGGUCAUCGGUCUCAGAGAAAUCAAGACUUGCGACAGACACCGCAAAUAUAUCCCAGCUCAACAAGAGUGACAAAUCAGACACCUGAAUCAAUCAUUCUGACUUAUCCAAGAAGACCAAAAAAUGAGAAUGAGUUGAUAUACAUUGACAUCGACCAUAAGUCAGCGAAAGUGAAUAAUUCCAGCAAACCUCCAAUCAGAAACGAUUCUGCAACUAUCUACGCAGACCUAGAUUUGGUAGCAAUGAAAUUAAUUGAAAUUUAAAAGCCUUCAGGAUGAUACAGUAGGCUUUUGGAAAAGAAAUGAGCAUAUCACCAUGUAAAUGAUGAUUAGAAAAUACAAGAUACAGUAUUUCGAUUUUUUUGUAUUAUUAUUUAAUUUCAAAUCUGUCAAUUUACAAUAUAGUAAAGGUAUUUUUAACAUUUAUACACAGUAAACACAAAAAACAUAUCGUGUUUAAUUUUAAAACUACACUAGUUCAGAAUAUAAGCAACUAAUGACUGAAUCUAAUACAGACAUGAAAACUGCAUUGUAACCUUGUAACAUCAAUUCGCAAUUAAAUUUUAAGAGAUUUCAAUACAGGCCAGCUUUUUAUUCCUAUAGGCUUAUAGCAUAUGCAUAUGGAUAUACUAUAUUGAGACAAACUAUUCACUGUUCGACGUAAACUUUGACUUCUUGAUCUCUGACCAUCAUUUGAACUACUAGCUAGUUAGGGACGAACUUUAUUGAGUAAUAGUCAGGGAUAAUGUCAGGAUUCAUCAUAACAUACAGAAUUUGCAACGUACUAUACAUUAAUAUAUUACAGUACUCAGAAAAAUGUUGCCU